UGAUGACUGAACCGCAUCACAAGAUGUCGCAGUUUACACAGUAAACAAUCCGAGCUCAACAGUUCAUGAAAGGCCAGAGAGAAAGGGAUACUGUUCUCCAUAUCAAAACUACCCAACUACCCCUGCAAGUGAGGUCCUGUAUUGAAUCUACAGCAACAAAGACCCUCAUUCUGCUUGACACUGGAGAUGUUGUCCUGGCUAGAGUGAGGUCUGUGUCCUGGGACAGAGCAGUGCCAGCCAGCAAGAGAUGAUCCAUGCAUGUUGGCAUAGUCUAGGCACUUUGAGCCCCACAAAAUACCUCUGAGCUCCAUUGUGUUGGGCUGAAGAACAGCUGCUAUCUUCAAACCUCAGCAAAUAACCCUGAAACUAUA